UGGAGUGACAAGCUGUUGUGUGCAGACUGAUCUCAUGAAGUGGUAUAAGUAUGACACGCCAAUUCGUAUGCCAUUUUUGGUGUGUUAUCAAGACUCAUACUCACUUUUCAGCGUGUUUAUCAACACCGUUUGGCCUCCAUUGACUUACAUUACCUUGUGAUUGCGUGGGAAUUUACGCCGUAGCGAGUAGUA